rnacentral:rRNA from 1 species
GCCUAGGAAUCUGCCUGGUAGUGGGGGACAACGUUUCGAAAGGAACGCUAAUACCGCAUACGUCCUACGGGAGAAAGCAGGGGACCUUCGGGCCUUGCGCUAUCAGAUGAGCCUAGGUCGGAUUAGCUAGUAGGUGAGGUAAUGGCUCACCUAGGCGACGAUCCGUAACUGGUCUGAGAGGAUGAUCAGUCACACUGGAACUGAGACACGGUCCAGACUCCUACGGGAGGCAGCAGUGGGGAAUAUUGGACAAUGGGCGAAAGCCUGAUCCAGCCAUGCCGCGUGUGUGAAGAAGGUCUUCGGAUUGUAAAGCACUUUAAGUUGGGAGGAAGGGCAGUAAGUUAAUACCUUGCUGUUUUGACGUUACCAACAGAAUAAGCACCGGCUAACUUCGUGCCAGCAGCCGCGGUAAUACGAAGGGUGCAAGCGUUAAUCGGAAUUACUGGGCGUAAAGCGCGCGUAGGUGGUUCA